UGGGGAAUUUUGGACAAUGGGGGAAACCCUGAUCCAGCCAUCCCGCGUGUGCGAUGAAGGCCUUCGGGUUGUAAAGCACUUUUGGCAGGAAAGAAACGUCAUGGGUUAAUACCCCGUGAAACUGACGGUACCUGCAGAAUAAGCACCGGCUAACUACGUGCCAGCAGCCGCGGUAAUACGUAGGGUGCAAGCGUUAAUCGGAAUUACUGGGCGUAAAGAGUGCGCAGGCGGUUCGGAAAGAAAGAUGUGAAAUCCCAGAGCUCAACUUGGGAACUGCAUUUUUAACUACCGGGCUAGAGUGUGUGAGAGGGAGGUGGAAUUCCGCGUGUAGCAGUGAGAUGCGUAGAGAUGCGGAGGAACACCGGUGGCGAAGGCAGCCUCCUGGGAUAACACUGACGCUCAUGCACGAAAGCGUGGGGAGCAAACAGG
rnacentral:rRNA from 1 species